rnacentral:rRNA from 1 species
CACAUAAGCAUUCCGCCUGGGGGAGUACGGCCGCAAAGGUUGAAACUCAAAGGAAUUGACGGGGGCCCGCACAAGCAGCGGAGCAUGUGGUUUAAUUCGACGCAACGCGAAGAACCUUUACCAGGUCUUGACAUCCAGUUAAAGCAGCAGAGAUGCUGUGAGAGCUUGCUCGAACUGAGACAGGUGGUGCAUGGUUGUCGUCAGCUCGUGUCGUGAGAUGUUGGGUUAAGUCCCGCAACGAGCGCAACCCUUGCUGAUAGUUACUAACGAGUAAAGUUGAGGACUCUAUCAGGACUGCCGGGGACAACUCGGAGGAAGGUGGGGACGACGUCAAAUCAUCAUGCCCCUUAUGACCUGGGCUACACACGUGCUACAAUGGCCGUAACAGAGAGGGGCGAAGGAGUAAUCUGGAGCAGAUCUCAAAAAAGCGGUCUCAGUUCGGAUUGUGGGCUGCAACCCGCCCACAUGAAGUCGGAGUUGCUAGUAAUCGCGGAUCAGCAUGCCGCGGUGAAUACGUUCCCGGGCCUUGUACACACCGCCCGUCACACCAUGGGAGUUGAUAGCACCCGAAACAGGUGAGGUAACCGGAAGGGGCCAGCCUGCUAAGGUGAGAUCAAUGACUGGGGUGAAGUCGUAACAAGGUAGCCG